rnacentral:rRNA from 1 species
UACGUAGGGUGCAAGCGUUGUCCGGAAUUAUUGGGCGUAAAGAGCUCGUAGGCGGUUUGUCGCGUCGAAUGUGAAAUCCCGGGGCUCAACCCCGGGUCUGCAUUCGAUACGGGCAGACUAGAGUUCGGUAGGGGAGUCUGGAAUUCCUGGUGUAGCGGUGAAAUGCGCAGAUAUCAGGAGGAACACCGGUGGCGAAGGCGGGACUCUGGGCCGAUACUGACGCUGAGGAGCGAAAGCCAGGGGAGCAAACGGG